GAAGAACUGCUCCUCCUUUGUGAUGGCUGUGACAAGGGCCAUCAUACGUACUGCCAUAGACCUAAGAUUACAGCUAUACCAGAUGGGUACUGGUUUUGUCCAGCUUGCAUUGCUAGGCAAGUUGUCAAACUCUAAAAAUCAAAAAACUUCAUGUCAAAGGAUAAAAGACUAAUGAGUCAGAGAAAGGCAAGAAAGUAACAGGGGACACUGAAGAUGAAGACUCCCCAUGUGCAAGUAGUUCACUGAAAAGGGGCAGCAAAGACCUGAGAGAAAGAAAAAUGGAGGAAAACACUUCUGGUGCUGGAGGAAAACAAAAGCUUUACUUCUGUAAAGAAACUGAAACAAGAUGACUCUAAGGACCUGACUCUUUGCAGUACGAUCCUUACUAAAAUGGAAACUUGUCUCAGCAAAGACAUGAGAAAAAGAAAAAUGGAGGAAAACACUUCCUGUGACUUACCAAAACAAGAAAGUUUUUCUUCUAAGAAACUGAAACACGAUGACUCUAAGGACCUGACUCUUUGCAGUAUGAUCCUUACUGAAAUGGAAACUCAUGAAGAUGCAUGGCCUUUUUUACUUCCUGUAAACUUGAAACUUGUUCCUGGUUAUAAGAAAGUUAUUAAGAAGCCUAUGGAUUUUUCCACAAUUAGAGAGAAAUU